GCUUGCUCUCAUUUUAUCCCCCAGAUAAACUUGUGGUGGGGCCUAUUUACAGCCCUGGUGCCAAAGUUUCAACCACAGUGAGAGACCUAAGGAUUUCAAGGAAAACUCAAAGCACCAAUAUUCAGUGAUAGAAGACUCAGAGGUUUGAUGCAGAGUUCACUCUCUGAAAAUGAACGUUCAGUAAAAGCAUGUCUGAUUUGGAGGCUUCAUAUAAACUGCCUGUGAAGUAGACGCCACUUUGCAGGAAUCCGGUCAGCUGUAACAUUCCUGAAGGAGGAGGAGGAUGGUUCAGAGAAUGCGGUUCUUCUUCGAAACAAAGAUCCACAUCAGAAUCAUGAGGCUGAAGGAGGUUAGAAGGAUACUUUUGCCUUCAGGGUGUCCCAUCUCAGCCACUGGGUACUAGUCUGGGCAGGCAGUGCUUUCGUUGACACCUUCAGGAUGAGCAGACAGGGAGAAACUUGUAGUCAUUUUUCUUGGCAGAAGCUACAACCCAGCCCAAGUUAAUUAUGUCUGAGAAGAAGAAUAAUGUCUGGGCACCUGCAAUUUUCAAUUUGGGACUUCAUGUGCCAGUGCCAGGUAUUCUAUCAAGCCAUUCACAUGUAUCUUCACAAAGUCCUUUUCUGGUUUCAUGUCAGAC
rnacentral:lncRNA from 1 species